GCUAAUGUAGCUUAGCUGGGAGACUGUUAAACUGAAGAUCUAAAGGUCCCUGGUUCAAUCCCAGGCUUUGGCA